GACGAACGCUGGCGGCGUGCUUAACACAUGCAAGUCGAACGGAAAGGCCCUGCUUUUGUGGGGUGCUCGAGUGGCGAACGGGUGAGUAACACGUGAGUAACCUGCCCUUGACUUUGGGAUAACUUCAGGAAACUGGGGCUAAUACCGGAUAGGAGCUCCUGCUGCAUGGUGGGGGUUGGAAAGUUUCGGCGGUUGGGGAUGGACUCGCGGCUUAUCAGCUUGUUGGUGGGGUAGUGGCUUACCAAGGCGUUGACGGGUAGCCGGCCUGAGAGGGUGACCGGCCACAUUGGGACUGAGAUACGGCCCAGACUCCGACGGGAGGCAGCAGUGGGGAAUAUUGCACAAUGGGCGGAAGCCUGAUGCAGCAACGCCGCGUGCGGGAUGACGGCCUUCGGGUUGUAAACCGCUUUCGCCUGUGACGAAGCGUGAGUGACGGUAAUGGGUAAAGAAGCACCGGCUAACUACGUG
rnacentral:rRNA from 1 species